GAUGAACGCUGGCGGCGUGCUUAACACAUGCAAGUCGAACGGUGAACACGGAGCUUGCUCUGUGGGAUCAGUGGCGAACGGGUGAGUAACACGUGAGCAACCUGCCCCUGACUCUGGGAUAAGCGCUGGAAACGGCGUCUAAUACUGGAUACGAGACGGGAUCGCAUGGUCAACGUCUGGAAAGAAUUUCGGUUGGGGAUGGGCUCGCGGCCUAUCAGCUUGUUGGUGAGGUAAUGGCUCACCAAGGCGUCGACGGGUAGCCGGCCUGAGAGGGUGACCGGCCACACUGGGACUGAGACACGGCCCAGACUCCUACGGGAGGCAGCAGUGGGGAAUAUUGCACAAUGGGCGCAAGCCUGAUGCAGCAACGCCGCGUGAGGGAUGACGGCCUUCGGGUUGUAAACCUCUUUUAGCAGGGAAGAAGCGAAAGUGACGGUACCUGCAGAAAAAGCACCGGCUAACUACGUGCCAGCAGCCGCAGUAA
rnacentral:rRNA from 1 species